AUACUUACUUCCAAAGUACACGACUGAGUAAUCGAAAGAUAAAGAAAGUCGCGCAUAUUUAAAAUAUGUAGUAGUAAAGUCUAUUUUUCAAAUGUGUACCAUACUUUAAAACACUUUGAAUGCUUGGAUAACAUUAACGUAACCAUAUUAAUGGCGGUUUGGUUAAACCCAUCUAUCGAAAGUCGAUAAACAAAACAUGACGUUUUGAACGUCUCGAAUUUUCGAGCAAUUAAAUUGUGGACAUAUGUAAAUUUAAAGUGACUUUGAUAGAACCUAUAUUAUUGGCUUUUUAGUUGCAAAUAUCUAAGAACCUGAGUGUCACCAUCUAUAUGACAUUGACUGUACAUGUGUAGCUAAAAUCCCUAAAAUCUGAAAUAGUACUUUCAGCGGGCCUAGCAUGACCGCCAUAGAAACAGCUUUUGUCUACCGGAGAAUCGACAAAAUGACAGAUUGAAGAAAGAUUUCUAUCGAUCCGAGCAUGGCAAUGUUUGACAUCGAGAAGAGAAAUGUUUCUUUUCUUCAUCGACAUGUGUCUAUCGCGUCGAGCAUGACGACUAUAUUUUAUCUACUUUUGACAUUUGGGAGUAGAUAUAACUUUCUAUAUGAAAUGUCAAAUACUCUACAUCUCAUCGGACCUAGACAAGAGUAGACAAGAAUAUUAUUAUAAUUUUAAGUUCUCAAAUAGCAUUUACAAAGUAUUUCGGGGUCCUACCGUCGUCAUGUGGUCAGUAUUUAUGCUGAGAAGAAUCAGUGUAAAGCUCAAAGAACGAGCUAUACGAGUGAUAAGCCUCUCGACAUCGAAAACGUAAAUGUGCAGAGAUGGUGCAGUAUUUGUGCCAGGAAUCUGUCUCCUAUAUCUCAGGGUCUGCCUGUUCUUGUCAAUGUUCUUUGCUCGGGUCCUGCUUAGGUCAUUAACAACAUUACUAACCACUGUUAGCAAAUUUUUUAAACAAUUUGUUUUUGCAGUGAAUACAAGGGUGCCUAUGCUACAAGCUACAACUCUUCCCGAGGAAAGGCAGAGAGAGAGAGACACACU